rnacentral:rRNA from 1 species
CGCGGCCUAUCAGCUUGUUGGGGGGGUAAUGGCUCACCAAGGCAUCGACGGGUAGCUGGUCUGAGAGGAUGAUCAGCCACACUGGGACUGAGACACGGCCCAGACUCCUACGGGAGGCAGCAGUGGGGAAUCUUGCACAAUGGGCGCAAGCCUGAUGCAGCAACGCCGCGUGCGGGAAGAAGGCCUUAGGGUUGUAAACCGCUUUCAGUAGGGAAGAAAAUGACGGUACCUACAGAAGAAGGUGCGGCCAACUACGUGCCAGCAGCCGCGGUAACACGUAGGCACCAAGCGUUAUCCGGAUUUAUUGGGCGUAAAGAGCCCGUAGGCGGUUCAGUCAGUCGGGUGUGAAAACUUGAGGCUUAACCUCAAGAGGUCACUCGAUACUACUGUGACUAGAGUGCGGUAGGGGAGCGGGGAAUUCCUGGUGUAGCGGUGAAAUGCGCAGAUAUCAGGAGGAACACCAGUGGCGAAGGCGCCGCUCUGGGCCGUAACUGACGCUGAGGAGCGAAAGCAUGGGUAGCAAACAGGAUUAGAUACCCUGGUAGUCCAUGCCGUAAACGUUGGGCACUAGGUGUGGGUCUCAACCAACGAGAUCCGCGCCGUCGCUAACGCAUUAAGUGCCCCGCCUGGGGAGUACGG